AAGACCUUGCACUUUUGGAGCGGCCGAUGCCUGAUUAGCUAGUUGGUGGGGUAAAAGCCUACCAAAGCUUCGAUCAGUAGCUGGUCUGAGAGGACGGCCAGCCACACUGGGACUGAGACACGGCCCAGACUCCUACGGGAGGCAGCAGUGGGGAAUUUUGGACAAUGGGGGCAACCCUGAUCCAGCCAUGCCGCGUGAGUGAAGAAGGCCUUCGGGUUGUAAAGCUCUUUCAGCCGGGAAGAAAAGGUUGCGGAUAACNGUGACCACUGACGGUACCGAAAGAAGAAGCACCGGCUAACUACGUGCCAGCAGCCGCGGUAAUACGUAGGGUGCGAGCGUUAAUCGGAAUUACUGGGCGUAAAGGGUGCGCAGGUGGUUUUGUAAGUCAGAUGUGAAAUCCCCGGGCUUAACCUGGGAACU
rnacentral:rRNA from 1 species